UUACCCACUCCCGGCACGGGGAGGUAGUGACGAAAAAUAACGAUACGGGACUCAUCCGAGGCCCCGUAAUCGGAAUGAGUACACUCUAAACCCUUUAACGAGGAUCAAUUGGAGGGCAAGUCUGGUGCCAGCAGCCGCGGUAAUUCCAGCUCCAAUAGCGUAUAUUAAAGUUGUUGCGGUUAAAAAGCUCGUAGUCGAAUUUGUGUCUCGUGCCGCUGGUUCAUCGUCCGCGGUGUUAACUGGCGAGUCGCGAGACGUCCUGCCGGUGGGCUUAGCCCGCGAGGGCGGCCCAACUCAAUCCUGCCGCGGUGCUCUUCAUUGAGUGUCGAGGUGGGCCGGCACGUUUACUUUGAACAAAUUAGAGUGCUUAAAGCAGGCUAAAACUUCGCCUGAAUACUGUGUGCAUGGAAUAAUGGAAUAGGACCUCGGUUCUAUUUUGUUGGUUUUCGGAACUCCGAGGUAAUGAUUAAUAGGAACGGAUGGGGGCAUUCGUAUUGCGACGUUAGAGGUGAAAUUCUUGGAUCGUCGCAAGACGGACAGAAGCGAAAGCAUUUGCCAAAAACGCUUUCAUUGAUCAAGAACGAAAGUUAGAGGUUCGAAGGCGAUCAGAUACCGCCCUAGUUCUAACUAUAAACGAUGCCAGCUAGCGAUCCGUCGACGUUCCUCCGAUGACUCGACGGGCAGCUUCCGGGAAACCAAAGCUUUUGGGUUCCGGGGGAAGUAUGGUUGCAAAGCUGAAACUUAAAGGAAUUGACGGAAGGGCACCACCAGGAGUGGAGCCUGCGGCUUAAUUUGACUCAACACGGGAAACCUCACCAGGCCCGGACACCGGAAGGAUUGACAGAUUGAGAGCUCUUUCUUGAUUCGGUGGGUGGUGGUGCAUGGCCGUUCUUAGUUGGUGGAGCGAUUUGUCUGGUUAAUUCCGAUAACGAACGAGACUCUAGCCUGCUAACUAGGCGUAUUUUGACAUUCUAAAGGCCCGCCGGCUUGGGG
rnacentral:rRNA from 1 species